rnacentral:rRNA from 1 species
GUCGAGGGGUAACAGAGUAGCUUGCUACUGCUGACGACCGGCGCACGGGUGCGUAACGCGUAUACAAUCUACCUUAUACUGGGGUAUAGCCUUUAGAAAUGAAGAUUAACCCCCCAUAGUCUCUAAGAGUGGCAUCACAUUUAGAGUAAAGGUUACGGUAUAAGAUGAGUAUGCGUUCUAUUAGUUUGUUGGUGAGGUAACGGCUUACCAAGACUACGAUAGAUAGGGGCCCUGAGAGGGGGAUCCCCCACACUGGUACUGAGACACGGACCAGACUCCUACGGGAGGCAGCAGUGAGGAAUAUUGGACAAUGGAGGCAACUCUGAUCCAGCCAUGCCGCGUGUAGGAUGACUGCCCUAUGGGUUGUAAACUACUUUUAUACAGGAAGAAACACCUCUACGUGUAGAGGCUUGACGGUACUGUAAGAAUAAGGAUCGGCUAACUCCGUGCCAGCAGCCGCGGUAAUACGGAGGAUCCAAGCGUUAUCCGGAAUCAUUGGGUUUAAAGGGUCCGUAGGUGGAUAAUUAAGUCAGAGGUGAAAUCUUGCAGCUCAACUGUAAAAUUGCCUUUGAAACUGGUUAUCUUGAGUUAUUAUGAAGUAGUUAGAAUAUGUAGUGUAGCGGUGAAAUGCAUAGAUAUUACAUAGAAUACCAAUUGCGAAGGCAGAUUACUAAUAAUCAACUGACACUGAUGGACGAAAGCGUGGGUAGCGAACAGGAUUAGAUACCCUGGUAGUCCACGCCGUAAACGAUGGUUACUAGCUGUUUGGACUUCGGUCUGAGUGGCUAAGCGAAAGUGAUAAGUAACCCACCUGGGGAGUACGUUCGCAAGAAUGAAACUCAAAGGAAUUGACGGGGGCCCGCACAAGCGGUGGAGCAUGUGGUUUAAUUCGAUGAUACGCGAGGAACCUUACCAGGGCUUAAAUGUAAGUUGCAUUAGUUAGAGAUAGCUAUUUCUUCGGACCACUUACAAGGUGCUGCAUGGUUGUCGUCAGCUCGUGCCGUGAGGUGUCAGGUUAAGUCCUAUAACGAGCGCAACCCCUGUUGUUAGUUGCCAGCGAGUCAUGUCGGGAACUCUAACAAGACUGCCAGUGCAAACUGUGAGGAAGGUGGGGAUGACGUCAAAUCAUCACGGCCCUUACGUCCUGGGCUACACACGUGCUACAAUGGUAGGGACAGAGAGCAGCCACUGGGCGACCAGGAGCGAAUCUAUAAACCCUAUCACAGUUCGGAUCGGAGUCUGCAACUCGACUCCGUGAAGCUGGAAUCGCUAGUAAUCGGAUAUCAGCCAUGAUCCGGUGAAUACGUUCCCGGGCCUUGUACACACCGCCCGUCAAGCCAUGGAAGUUGGAAGUGCCUGAAGUCCGUCACCGCAAGGAGCG